rnacentral:rRNA from 1 species
GACGAGGGGUCCUAGCGUUGUUCGGAAUUACUGGGCGUAAAGCGCAUGUAGGCGGCUUAGUAAGUCAGGUGUGAAAUCUCCGGGCUCAACCCGGAACGUGCACUUGAUACUGCUGAGCUUGAGUAUGGGAGAGGGUAGUAGAAUUCCUGGUGUAGUGGUGAAAUACGUAGAUAUCAGGAGGAAUACCGGUGGCGAAGGCGGCGACCUGGUCCGACACUGACGCUGAGGCGCGAAAGCGUGGGGAGCAAACAGG